UUCUUUUUCUUUAAGCUUUCCGCACUUUCGAUGAUUCAUGUGUGUUUGUCUCCCUUACCUGUUCGAUGAAAUUCCUCAUUCACGCUCUGCAUUACCAACUUCUAUGCAUUCCAAAAUCUCACCACAAAUGAUUAACAAGUAACAAAUUCGUCUCUUACCAGAUAUUAAAAAAAAUAGAUAUAUUACUAUUACUUCAUUUUUAAUACUGUUAUUAUUGUAUUAUUCACAUGUUAGAUUGAGUUAAAUCGAUUGAUUACAGGUAGAAAUAAAGCUAUAUUAUUGCUAAUGUUCAUAUGAAUUUUGUAAUCUUUGAAGCUACCAGUUGUAUUUUACAGUAAGAUUAUAACACACGAUUUUCAUUUAGCUUUCUCAGCUUUGCUACAAUUUUUCAUAGUCCAAAAUCUAGAUCCCUCAGCUCUCUUUUGAGGUGGACCUAAUUUUUGGAGCUAUUUCAGUUGUUAUUGGGAUUUUUUGUGACUAAUGACGAUUUUAGUAUCAAUAUUGGUGACGUCGAUGCAGUUGAUCCUGUAAGUAUUGCAACAUUCAAAAUUCUAUUCUAAGAGAUAAGAUUUGUUAUUUUCUUGGUGAAACUAUAUUUUGUAAUUUCAUUUUGGUGAGAUUUGUACAACAUGAUAAAUAAAUCAGAAAAUCAAUUUGCACUUCAGAGGAGGAAGAAUUUUUGUUGCUGUGAUUGAAGACUUGCUUGCAAAAGGAAUGAGAAAUGCUCAAAAUGUAAUCGAUAUUGAUGAUUUGUGUUUCAGUAUGAUGAAGAAUGAUUAGCCAUAACAAGGAGGUUCAACUCUAUAUUCCCGCUGACACCCAAGGGUGCAGAUUUCAGAGGUGUGAAUCUUGAGAUGGAUGAUUGUUGCCAAUGGGUUAGAAGCAGGUUACAACAAAGAGGGUGCAAACCUUUUGAAUUUGUUAAAACUGCUCUGUGUUAUGAUCCUUCUCAAUCCAAUUUUCAUGGUUCUUUUGCUGGUUGUCCUCGGAAUCCUCAAACAGAAUCUCUUUUACAGUUUCUUGACCUUCCAUACCUCCUUAAUAAGAAUCCUGAACCAACUGACUUGUCACCUUAUCCUUCUUGCUCCAUUGGGAGAGUGUGACUUCACGUCAGCUGAAUGAAUUGAACAAGAAAUCAGUUAUGAGUGAUGGGAUGAAUUUGAUUCAGAGGUCUCCACAACUGAAGAGUCCUGUUGCGAAGCCGGCAGCUCGGACCAAAGUUCCUUUUGAAAAAGGAUAUAGUCAAAUGGAUUGGCUUAAGCUUACUCGGACACAUCUUGACCUUGCAGGUAUGAUCUUCUUGAUAUAUGCAUCAAUGGCCCAAAGGAUAAGUUAGAUUCAACUGUUCUUAGUCAGAAAAAUAGAGGAUCCUGCUUCUUCAGGGUGUUUCCGCGAUUGUCUUAUUAAAUCCGUUCACGCUCAUUUGGAACCUGCAAGAAGUAACUAUAAGUGAACCUGUAGAAUGGUUGAAACUAGCACAGCGUCUCCGAUGGCGGAGGCUGAUAUAACAGCAAUGAAGGAAACACACCGAGCCCAACAAACUCCUCUGCAGCAGCUACAUGCAGAGUUGGAUCAGGAAAAAGAAGCCUCUGCUACUGCAGCCAGCGAAGCUAUGGACAUGAUACUUCGUCUACAAGGCAAAAAGGCUGCCGUGAAGAUGGAGGCAAGUCACUACAAGAGAAUGGCAGAGGAGAAGAUAGGUCAUGCUGAGGAAACUCUUGAAGUCUUUGAAGAGCUUAUCUAUCAGAAGGAGAUGGAAAUCACUGCUCUUGAGGUCCAAGUCUUGGCUUACAAACAGAAGCUUCUGGCAUUGGGAGUAGAUAUCAAUAUCAGUGAGCUUGAAUUCCCUCAUGAUCUUCUUCUUAAUAGAAGCAAAUAAAAUGGAGAAGAUGAUCAAAGUAGCUCUAAGAGAAGGUUGCAAUCAUUACCCCCUAUUUGCUCUAUGAGGUGCAACUUUAGAUCAUUGCUAAUACUCGUAUUGCUACAUUGAUACAACAUAGCUAUAGGCUUGUAGCAUUUUUUGUUGUUUAGAUUUGUAAUAUGAUUUAUUACUUUUCAAGAGAAAUUUGUGUAUUAA